GUAAUAGCUCAGGGGUGGAGCAGCUGCUUGGCAUGCAGAAGGUCCCAGGUUAAAUCUCCGCUGGCAGCA